rnacentral:hammerhead_ribozyme from 1 species
AUCCAGCUGACAAGUCCUAAAUAGGAUGAAACACUCGUCCAAUUGGAU